GCCAUCAUAGUGUAGUGGUUUGAGCUCUGGACUAUGACUCUGGAGUCCAAUGUUCGAAUCCUGGGUUGGCC